rnacentral:rRNA from 1 species
UGGGGAAUUUUGGGCAAUGGGCGAAAGCCUGACCCAGCAACGCCGCGUGAAGGAUGAAGUAUUUCGGUAUGUAAACUUCGAAAGAAUAGGAAGAAUAAAUGACGGUACUAUUUAUAAGGUCCGGCUAACUACGUGCCAGCAGCCGCGGUAAUACGUAGGGACCAAGCGUUGUUCGGAUUUACUGGGCGUAAAGGGCGCGUAGGCGGUGCGGUAAGUGCGGUGUGAAAUCCCACGGCUCAACCGUGGAAUUGCGCUGCAUACUGCCGUGCUAGAGGGAGACAGGGGUAAGCGGAACUGAUGGUGGAGCGGUGAAAUGCGUUGAUAUCAUCAGGAACACCGGUGGCGAAAGCGGCUUACUGGGUCUCUUCUGACGCUGAGGCACGAAAGCUAGGGUAGCGAACGGGAUUAGAUACCCCUGUAGUCCCUGAGCGGGCUGGCAAGGCGCAU